GCUGGGCAUGGUGGUGCAUGCCUGUGGUCCCAGCUACUCGGGAGGCUGAGGCAGGAGAAUCACUUGAACCUGGGAGGCGGAGGUUGCAGUGAGUUGAGAUCACGCCACUGCAUUCUCGCCUGGAUGACAGAGUGAGACUCUGUCUCAA
rnacentral:SRP_RNA from 1 species